rnacentral:rRNA from 1 species
CAAUAGCGUAUAUUAAAGUUGUUGCAGUUAAAAAGCUCGUAGUUGGAUUUCUGGUGGAGAAGCUCCGCCCUCACGCGAGUGCGCGGAGGCUCUCUACCAUCCUUCUGUUAACCCUCGUGGUCCUUUAUUGGAUGCUUGGGAGCCCAGAUAUUUUACCUUGAGAAAAUUAGAGUGUUUCAGGCAGGCUUUCGCCCGGACUACAUUAGCAUGGAAUAAUAGAAUAGGACUUUGUCUCUUCUGUUGGUUCGUGAGGGGUCGGAAGUAAAUAGAUUAAUUAAGGAGUAGUUGGGGGUCGGAUUAGUACUUAACUAGUCAGAGGUGGAAA